CACAGAGCUUGGUGCGUGACAUGUAGCAGGAUCCAGCGGUUGAAUGGAUGGUGGUGUGUGACUCUGGGGAAAGAGAUCCGCCCAUACGCAUUCAGCCUUUCCCUCCCCAGCUUCAGCACCUGCACCCUGGAUCCCCUGGAGGGGACGGUGUGCUCGUGGAUCGUGGUUGCCUGACGCUGCCUCUUUUUCAGAUUCUCAUUCAGAUUGUGGAUGCCUCGUCAGUCAUCACUUGGGAUUUUGACGUGUGCAAAGGGGACAUUGUGUUUAACAUCUAUCACUCCAAGAGGUCGCCACAGCCACCCAAAAAGGACUCCCUGGGAGCCCACAGCAUCACCUCUCCGGGUGGGAACAACGUGCAGCUCAUAGACAAAGUCUGGCAGCUGGGCCGCGAUUACAGCAUGGUGGAGUCACCUCUGAUCUGCAAAGAAGGAGAAAGCGUGCAGGGUUCCCAUGUGACCAGGUGGCCGGGCUUCUACAUCCUGCAGUGGAAAUUUCACAGCAUGCCCGCGUGCGCCGCCAGCAGCCUUCCCCGGGUGGACGACGUGCUCGCGUCCCUGCAGGUCUCUUCGCACAAGUGUAAAGUGAUGUACUACACCGAGGUGAUCGGCUCGGAGGAUUUCAGGUGCGGCCACCCUCGCCACAGCAGGUGCUGUGGACAGCUCGGCAUGGUUGGAGGGAGCCUGCAGUCCCGCGCCGUGUGCAGGAUCAGCAGUGGCGGCGGGUGUCAGGGAUGCCCGGGGGGCCAGGAGGGAGUGGCUUUGGGGUCGUUUGUUGGCAUGGUGACUCCCUGCCUGUCUGCAGAGGGAGAGUGUUGGAGACAGAGCCGACUGCCUUUGCUUUAGCUCACACUGCUGUCUGCGUGCAGGCUGUGGGAAGCCGGUCCCCCUGGUGG
rnacentral:sRNA from 1 species